AGCGGAGGGAACAUGUGGUUUAAUUCGAUGAUACGCGAGGAACCUUACCCGGGCUUGAAUUGCAGGAGAACGAUCCAGAGAUGGUGAGGCCCUUCGGGGCUCCUGUGAAGGUGCUGCAUGGUUGUCGUCAGCUCGUGCCGUGAGGUGUCGGCUUAAGUGCCAUAACGAGCGCAACCCCUCUCCGUAGUUGCCAUCGGGUGAAGCCGGGCACUCUGCGGAUACUGCCACCGUAAGGUGUGA
rnacentral:rRNA from 1 species